GGUGGAGUUCCCGAGUGGUCAAAGGGAACAGACUGUAAAUCUGUCGCCGUAGGGCUUCGGUGGUUCAAAGCCACCCUCCACCA
rnacentral:tRNA from 1 species